rnacentral:lncRNA from 1 species
AGUCCCCUGACUGUGCUCCUGAGAGAGCCCAGACCUCACUAUGCCUCCAAGUUUUGUGAGCGGUCAGGAGUCUGAGGGGACUGAGGUUUACUUGAUGUGACGUGUACGAGACUCCUGAGAACAGCUCUGGAACCGCGGCCCUCUGGUAUCCAGGACACUAAGGGGCUGGAAGACUGCAGACUACAUUUUCAAAUCCAUUGCCAACUGGUCUACUAUAGGAUUUCUUAAGGUCCUCAGAGACAUACAGUAAGUAAUAAAAAUAAAACUGACAAAGGAACA